CUAAUAAGCCAAAACAGAAAGAAACAUCCUUACAUAUAAAUGUAUAAAGAUGAGAAAGAAUUCAAGCCACCAAACAAACCAUCAUGAAAGUCAUAAUGAACCAAGCAGAGAAACUGAACUGUCACAAAGAUCUCAAGAACAUACAGCAAAUAUAUUACAAUUGAAACCUCCUAUUUUCACUCAGCAAUGAUCAAUGCAUUUCACAUGCGAGUUCUGUUGGAAUACAUACAGGACAUCAAAAUCCAAUGACAUCAACUAUGAGAUCCAGAAACAAUGCACGCUCAUGUUAAAAUCUCAGUGGCAUUAUGUUCUUAAGGAGAGCAUCCAACCAGUUUCCUGUUCUUGCUUGGACAUACCCAACAUAACAAUUUUGCCAACGAGGCAGAACAGAUAGAUCAAAUAAUACCAACUUAUAUGCAACUUCCAAAAUAGAAAAUCCUGCCCAAUCUGCAUAAUAAUAUAUCUUGAGAAUAGCUCUGUACAUAAUUUUUCUAGUUUACUUAAUUCCCUCAAGCCCAUUGAUGCUCUUAUCCAUUGACAUUGCGUACGGAGAACCACUUGUUAGUUUCAUACAAAGCAUGACCUUCAGCUUCUUAUCAAGUUUCCAGCUGUUAAUAUAGUAUGCUUGUUAUUUGAACAUGACAUCAUUUUAAAGAGCUGGACUGAAACAAUAGGUGAAUCACUUAACACCCUAAAAUUUAAUUCAAUCCCAAGGAUUUUUCAUUUUGUUGAUCAUUUUCUGGAAAUAAAUUGCACUGAAGAUGACGAAAGGUCAAUCACAAGGUCUCAAUAUAAAGUGAGAGCACCAAGGGAACAGAGGAAAAUCGCUACCUUAAGGUUUUUGUUGUUCUUGUUCUCAGUGUACAUUUGAAUCUCAAUUGCAUAUACCUCCAGAAGUUGACUGCCUUUCUUCUGGUCAUCUGUGCCAUCUUCUCGUUGACAAGAUUUAUGGAGUUCUUUCAGAAUCUUGCUCAUCCGCCCAUAUUCACCCAUAUCAAACCAUAUCUUGCAGAGCUUAAGAUUUGUUUUGAACCAAAGUCUCUGUACAGGAAAGCAAAAUAUAAGGAUGAAUGGCACUAUAAAAUAUUUAUCAAAUAACUUACCUCAUUCUUUGCUUCUUCCAGAGCCUUUAAGGUGGUUUGAUAAAAUUCUUGCAGGAGGCCAAAAUUCUGACUAGCUGAUCCAGAAACGAAGUCCAUGAUGUUGUUUAUACAUUUCUCACUGUAGUUGCGGGUGACUGCUGAUUUAACGUAUGUAAGCAUCUCCCUGUAAGCAUCCAUCAUUUCUUUAUACUUUCCCAAGCGAUAAUAAAGCUUAACGGUUUGUUUCAAAGCUUUGAACCCCCUGGUAAGAAGAACAAUUAUCUCACUAUCAAAGAAUCAGCUUGAAAUGAAUAAAAAGUUCUAUACCAGUAGGUUAAUAGACAUGCAAUAGUAAUGCAAUCUGCUUUAAAAAUGCAUAAAAAAUGAUAAUAUGAGUGAUAAAAAAAGAUAUUAUCUGCUGCAAAUGACAUCUCUCCAAUUGCAUCAUCUGUUUCAUACAGCAAAUUGAUCCUCUCGAUGCUCCUACCUUUCAAGCCAACCCCACUCUGCCUUCUCCGGUUCCAU
rnacentral:misc_RNA from 1 species